GAUGAACGCUGGCGGCGUGCCUAAUACAUGCAAGUCGAGCGAACAGACGAGGAGCUUGCUCCUCUGACGUUAGCGGCGGACGGGUGAGUAACACGUGGAUAACCUACCUAUAAGACUGGGAUAACUUCGGGAAACCGGAGCUAAUACCGGAUAAUAUAUUGAACCGCAUGGUUCAAUAGUGAAAGACGGUUUUGCUGUCACUUAUAGAUGGAUCCGCGCCGCAUUAGCUAGUUGGUAAGGUAACGGCUUACCAAGGCGACGAUGCGUAGCCGACCUGGGAGGGUGAUAGGCAAAACUGGAACGGAGAAAGGGUCCAGAAUCCAACGGGAGGAAGCAGUAGGAAAUCUUCCGCAAUGGGCGAAAGCCUGACGGAGCAACGCCGCGUGAGGGAUGAAGGUCUUCGGAUCGUAAAACUCUGUUAUUAGGGAAGAAAAAAUGUGUAAGUAACGAUGCAAGUAUGGACGGUACCUAAUCAGAAAGCCACGGCUAACUACGU
rnacentral:rRNA from 1 species